GAGCACGCCGCGUGAGUGAUGAAGGUUUUCGGAUCGUAAAGCUCUGUUGUUAGGGAAGAACAAGUGCCGUUCAAAUAGGGCGGCACCUUGACGGUACCUAACCAGAAAGCCACGGCUAACUACGUGCCAGCAGCCGCGGUAAUACGUAGGUGGCAAGCGUUGUCCGGAAUUAUUGGGCGUAAAGGGCUCGCAGGCGGUUUCUUAAGUCUGAUGUGAAAGCCCCCGGCUCAACCGGGGAGGGUCAUUGGAAACUGGGGAACUUGAGUGCAGAAAAGGAGAGUGGAAUUCCACGUGUAGCGGUGAAAUGCGUAAAGAUGUGGAGGAACACCAGUGGCGAAGGCAACUCUCUGGUCUGUAACUGACGCUAAGGAGCGAAAGCGUGGGGAGCG
rnacentral:rRNA from 1 species